rnacentral:tRNA from 1 species
CCUCCUUACCAUUACGUCGAUAGACGCACUUGAUGCAGUGCCUACACAGAUAGUCUUGUUUAAAAAUGAAGAACGACACAAGUUUAUGGGGCUAUAGCUCAGCUGGGAGAGCGCCUGAUUUGCAUUCAGGAGGUCAGCAGUUCGAUCCUGCUUAGCUCCACCAUCUACUUGACACUGAGCUUGCAUAAGCGAAGUACUGAAGGCUUGUAGCUCGGAUGGUUGCAGCCCUGCCCUCGAAUAAGAGCGGUGAGGUCACAACGCCGACCGGCUUGAAAAAUAGGCUUGUAGCUCAGCUGGGUAGAGCGCACCCCUGAUAAGGGUGAGGUCGGCAGUUCGAAUCUGCCCAGACCCACCAAUUUUGUGUGGGAAAAGCCUGUAGAAAUACGGGGCCAUAGCUCAGCUGGGAAAAGCGCCUGCCUUGCACGCAGGAGGUCAACGGUUCGAUCCCGUUUGGCUCCACCACUUACUGCUGUUUCUGUUGUUAGAGCUUAAAAUGAGCAUUCCAUCCUGAUGAUGGUGAAUGUUGAUUUCUAGUCUUUGAUUAGAUCGUCCUUAAAAUUUGGGUAUGUGAUAAAAGAUAGACUGGACGUUACUUUCACUGGUAACGGCUCAGGCUAAGGUAAAUUUUGGGAGUGACUCUUAAAAGUUUGC